UGAUCUCCUGGUUUAGUCAGUCUGUCGUCAAGUUUGUAGGUGGACUGGGUUUGUCAUGGCAGCUCUCAUUUGGCAUCCUGACAUUGCUCUAUUUCUAUUCUCACUACUUCUUCGCCAGCGGAGCAGCACAUAUCGGAGCCAUGUUCACUGCGUUCUUGUCGGUUGCCAGCGCGUUAGGUGCCCCGCCUCUAUUUGCAGCAAUGGUCCUUGCAAUCUUCUCUAAUCUUAUGGGUGG
rnacentral:misc_RNA from 1 species